UACGUAGGGGGCAAGCGUUGUCCGGAUUUAUUGGGCGUAAAGAGCGUGUAGGCGGCCAAGCAGGUCAGCUGUGAAAACUCGAGGCUCAACCUCGAGACGUCGGUUGAAACCGCUUGGCUAGAGCCCGGAGGAGGAGAGUGGAAUUCCCGGUGUAGCGGUGAAAUGCGCAGAUAUCGGGAAGAACACCCGUGGCGAAGGCGGCUCUCUGGGACGGUACUGACGCUGAGACGCGAAAGCGUGGGGAGCGAACAGG
rnacentral:rRNA from 1 species